GCGUGGGUCGGCCCGCUGUACUGGAUCCAGUGGGCUGGGGGACACCGCCGCCUUCAUCCCCGCGGGCGGCGGACCGGCCCGGGGGGCGAGUCCCGCCCCCCGGGCUGAA
rnacentral:ncRNA from 1 species